rnacentral:rRNA from 1 species
CAGCCGCCACGGUAAUACCGGCGGCCCGAGUGGCGGUCACUAUUAUUGGGCUUAAAGCGUCCGUAGCCGGGUUGGGAAGUCCUCCGGGAAAUCUGGCCGCUUAACGGUCAGAAUGCCGGAGGAUACUCCCAGCCUAGGGAGCGGGAGAGGCCGAGGGUAUUCCCGGAGUAGGGGUGAAAUCCUAUAAUCCCGGGAGGACCACCUGUGGCGAAGGCGCUCGGCUGGAACGCGUCCGACGGUGAGGGACGAAGGCCAGGGGAGCAAACCGGAUUAGAUACCCGGGUAGUCCUGGCUGUAAACGAUGCGGACUUUGUGUCGGACAAGCUAUGAGCUUGUCCGGUGCCGGAGGGAAACCGUUAAGUCCGCCGCCUGGGGAGUACGGCCGCAAGGCUGAAACUUAAAGGAAUUGGCGGG